rnacentral:tRNA from 9 species
UGUCUCGUAGCUCAGCUGGUUAGAGUACUACACUGAUAAUGUAGGGGUCGACAGUUCGAGUCUGUCCGAGACAACAA